rnacentral:rRNA from 1 species
UACGAAGGGGGGCUAGCGUUGCUCGGAAUCACUGGGCGUAAAGCGCACGUAGGCGGAUUGCUAAGUCAGGGGUGAAAUCCUGGAGCUCAACUCCAGAACUGCCUUUGAUACUGGCGACCUUGAGUCCGGGAGAGGUGAGUGGAACUGCGAGUGUAGAGGUGAAAUUCGUAGAUAUUGGGUAGAACACCAGUGGCGAAGGCGGCCAACUGGGAUGCAACUGACGCUGAGGCGCGAAGGCGUGGGGAGUCAAACAGGA